AUUGAACGCUGGCGGCAUGCCUUACACAUGCAAGUCGAACGGCAGCGGACCUUCGGGUGCCGGCGAGUGGCGAACGGGUGAGUAAUAUAUCGGAACGUACCUUUCAGUGGGGGAUAACGUAGCGAAAGUUACGCUAAUACCGCAUAUUCUGUGAGCAGGAAAGCAGGGGAUCGCAAGACCUUGCGCUGAUUGAGCGGCCGAUAUCAGAUUAGCUAGUUGGUGAGGUAAAGGCUCGCCAAGGCGACGAUCUGUAGCGGGUCUGAGAGGAUGAUCCGCCACACUGGAACUGAGACACGGUCCAGACUCCUACGGGAGGCAGCAGUGGGGAAUUUUGGACAAUGGGCGCAAGCCUGAUCCAGCAAUGCCGCGUGAGUGAUGAAGGCCUUAGGGUUGUAAAGCUCUUUCGGCCGGGAAGAAAUCGCAUGGGUUAAUACCCUGUGCGGAUGACGGUACCGGCAUAAGAAGCACCGGCUAACUACGUG
rnacentral:rRNA from 1 species